rnacentral:rRNA from 1 species
AGAUUGAACGCUAGCGGGAUGCUUUACACAUGCAAGUCGAACGGCAGCGCGGACUUCGGUCUGGCGGCGAGUGGCGAACGGGUGAGUAAUAUAUCGGAACGUGCCCAGUAGCGGGGGAUAACUACGCGAAAGCGUGGCUAAUACCGCAUACGCCCUACGGGGGAAAGGGGGGGAUCGCAAGACCUCUCACUAUUGGAGCGGCCGAUAUCAGAUUAGCUAGUUGUGAGUAAAGGCUCACCAAGGCGACGAUCUGUAGCUGGUUUGAGAGGACGACCAGCCACACUGGGACUGAGACACGGCCCAGACUCCUACGGGAGCAGCAGUGGGAAUUUGGACAAUGGGGGAAACCUGGAUCCAGCCAAUCCCGCGUCGUGCGACGUGAACGGCCUUCGGGUUGUUAAGCUACUUUGGUCAGGUAAGAAACGGACGUGCCCGUAAUACGGACGUCUACGUGACGUACUCGAC